AAUGAAGAGGCACCAGUUCCAGUUGCCACAAAAAGGCGAUGGACACAGAAUACAAUAGUUGCAAAAAAAAAAGAAGAUCAUACAAGACAUGGCUUAUUCCAGAUAUAAAGAAAACAUUUCCAAUGAUGAUAGUGGUGACAAUUUCAGCAAAUCUAACAGGAACUCUCCUGAUGCUCAUGUGAGGAUACAGUUGCUUUGUGUCUUCUUACAUUUCUGUCUUUUUGAAAUGGUGCUUCUUUACCAUCAUGCACAGAUGAGGAAACUUUUCUACUGAUGAUGACAAUGAGGUCGUCAGCGAUGCUGAUGGGAACUUUACAGAUGCUGAUGUG